UCUAGCCUGGGUAACAGAGUGAGACUCUGUCUCAAAAAUAAAUAAAUAAAAAAAGAAAGAGGGAAUGUGUAGAACUGGGAGCCAAAAGCCCUGACCUCUCCUGUUCUGCGUGCCCCUGGGACGGCUUUGGCUCUCUGAAGCUCACUUUCCUAAUCUGCAAACUGAAUAUCUGAAUAUAAAAGUCCCUGUUCUGUCUGCCAAGAGGUCAAGGGAGACGAUGUGUGUGGAGGUGCUGUGUAAACCGUCCGCUGCCUUACCCGUGUGAUGAUUCAGGGUCUCUGUCUUUGGAGAAACUAGGCCUGUUUUUUUGUUUUUUUUUAAAAAGGAAUAAAUAAAUAAUAAUAAACCAUUAAUAGAAAUAAGGUCAUCCUGCUAAGAUGGCUUGCGGUGUAUCAAGACAGCACGUCUGACCUUCACUGUAGGUGCACACUCUGAGGGACGCCUGUUAGACACUUGGCAUCACACGCGUCACGGCGGAGGGCUCCAUGCACAGCUUCAAGUGCGCUGAGAAGGCGUGAGCUUCCAGCGUCCAGCAGGGGGCAGCAGAGAACUUCCAGAAAGACCACCAGGGUGUGCACAGAUUGCUGCGUGCAGACGGAGCCCGGCCAUGCAACCAGGGCUAGAAGCCAGCCUUUCUUAACCCCAAGCCUGCUAGAAAUCCCGAGGGUGGUGAAGUUUCCUCCAUGGGGAAGAAAGAGCUUCAUCAAAGUGCCUCUGCAUGGUCGGGCCUUGUUGGAUGUGCCAGGCUUUGGUGGAGACCCACUUCUCCUGGAAGACACCCCAACUGUGCUCGGGGGUUCCUGAGUUGGCAAGAAAGCACUCCUCUAUCCGUCCUUCCUCGGUGGCCCCACUAGGUGGCACCUGGCAUUGUGGCUGAGAGCACCUAUUAGGGAAUCAGACCACCCAGGUACGAAUCCCACUUCUGCCACCUGCUGGCCCUGUGACCUUGGGCGAGUUCCUGAACCCCUUCCUGCCUUGGUUUACUCCCUGUAAAAUAAUAAUAUGAAUAGUAUCUGCUCCUCAGAAUCAUUGUGGGAAAGGAGACAGUUAAUACAGUGGCUGGGAGCAGUGCAGUGCUUGGCACCAGAUAAAUUUGCUAACUCUUAUUGUCAUUCCAUCCCAUGGUGAUUGCCCUUUGCUUGCCUUCCCCUCCACUUGGCUGGAAGCCCCUUGAGAGCAGGGCAGUGACUGAUCCAGGGCCAGGGUAGUGUCGCUCGCACCCAGCAGAGGAACCCUGGUCUUCGACUGGGGACUCAGGAAACGUGUGCUAAGUGGGAGAUCACGUGACAGUUCUGGAGGAAGACACCUCUGCCUGACUUUCAAAGGUCUUCCUUGGUAGCCGGCCAGUGUGGAUGUCAGUCAUGGCCGGGGACCUGUCCGGCACACGCAGCAGAGCUGUGGCAGAACAGGCUUUGAACCCAGGUCUCCUGACUCCAGUCCUGGUCCCCAUCUCGGCAGUAACCUGUCUGCAAGCUCCAGUAGCAGCUGCUGGGCUCACAGCAGGCCCCUGCCUCCCUGCCCGAGCCUCCCCACCACGCCUGCUCGCCGCAGAUACGGGCCGACGAGUCCUUGGGAGCUCCAUAAGAAGACAACAACAUAGAAAUGGAAAAAGUCAUUGAGGAGGACACAAACUACCCCACAAAGGGGCUGAGACCAACCACAAAGGGGCUGAAAUCAGAUGUCGAUGGGGGCGAAUGUGUCGCUGGCAAGGAGGAGACAGACCCCGAGGGGGAGAAGCAGGGCCCGCCUGGGCGCUGAGAGAUAGCCGUGCGGCGGGGCAGCGAGAUGUUCUUGGCAAUGGGGGCUCCAUAGACUCUCAUCAUGACGCCAACUCUUGCAGUCUUUUCAGGGUUGCCUUCCCCAACAGAUGGGACCUCGCAGCCUUUUCAGCACCAGGACCCACAGGAGUUCUCUUCCUGGAGCUCGUGCCGUCCUGCAGCCAUGCACCCUACCGCGCCCGCCCCCCCAUUCCGCAUGUAGAAUGGGCUGAGAGUUGGGGUCCCCAGGGGUCUGGACAUCCAGGUCGCUCAAGAGACGCCAGCAUUCUAGCAACUCACGGGUGGCCAUCAAAGAUCGGGUGAAUGUUCCCUCCCCCCGGCAUGCCCGCCCAGGCAGAGAUUCCAGAGACUCCCUCCCUCCCAACUUCUCACCAUGUUCUAAAUUUUCAGAGAGAUCUUCUGGGGGUUUGGAAUUCUGGGAAAUCCCUACAGUGCUUCAGGAUUUCCAAGAGCACCCCCCAUUGCUAAUGUUUUAAGGUGGCAGAGACCUUCUUUUUAAUUCGACAGUUCUUAAGAACUACUGCUAUGUUUCAGUGGGCCAGAGAACUGUCCCAAGUUCCAGCCAUCUUCGUUUAGGCCUGCAGCUUUCAGGAUCCCAGAAGUGCCCUCCUGAGCCUGCAGGCUCUUGAUGGUGAGCACCCCGGGCAAAGCCCGCGUGGCCCCUGCUGGUCUCAUCUGCCGCCUUACUGCUUGAUUUGCAGCUGAUGCAAGUGGUGCGUGUUGAAGGAAGGAAAGAAGUGGGCCUCAGGUUCCCUAACUGUGCAUGGGCGCGUUAGGUCAGCCUCUUUCUCCCACCCCAAGUUCCUCACGUCGCGCCUGGACUUCUCCAUCGCGGCCGACCGGCUGUGUCCUGUGGGCACCUAUGCCGGGAAUCAUCGCAGCCCUCACACCAUGGCCUCCGCUAGAGUGUGACAGGACAGGGAGCCACGCCUGCCGUUUGACUGACUGAAGACCAGAAGGUGGUCCCAGGCCUCCGGAGCCCCAGCACCAGGACACACGUGACAGAGUGAGCCCCUCCACCUCCUUCAUGGAGACACUCGUCACUCGCCACCCCCGGGGCACGCGGCAGUUGCUCAAUCAAAGCUUGUGCAACCCACGAAAGGAGACGGGGCUGGGA